UCCGGGGUAGUUCAGCGGUAGAACGCCUGCCUGUUAAGCAGGAUGUCGCAGGUUCGAAUCCUGCCCCCGGAG
rnacentral:tRNA from 1 species